rnacentral:rRNA from 1 species
GACAGAGGUGCCAAGCGUUAGGCGGAAUCACUGGGCUUAAAGCGUGUGUAGGCGGAAUGGUAAGUACCUUGUGAAAUCCCACGGCUCAACCGUGGAACUGCUGGGUAUACUGCUUUUCUUGAGCCACUUAGGGGCUGUCGGAACAAACGGUGGAGCGGUGAAAUGCGUAGAUAUCAAGUGGAACACCAGUGGCGAUGGCGAAUCCCUGGAAAAUACCUGACACUGAGGCACGAAAGCUAGGGGAGCAAACAGG